rnacentral:rRNA from 1 species
GGGUCAGUAGGUUGGUGGUGCCACCGGUACGUACUGGUCUCACUGAUUCCUCCUUCCUGAAGAAACGUAAUGCCAUUAAUUUGGUGUUGCGGGAAACAGGACUGUUACUUUGAAAAAAUUAGAGUGUUUAAAGCAAGCUAACGCUUGAAUACAUUAGCAUGGAAUAAUGAAAUAGGACGAUCGAUCCUAUUUUGUUGGUUUCUAGGAUUGACGUA